GCCAGUGCAGUGCUGUGGUUUGGAUGCUGGAGUACAACUCUGGAGACCAGGGUUCAAUUCCCUGCUAGGCC